rfam:Schistosoma mansoni strain Puerto Rico chromosome 6, complete genome
AUCCAGCUGACGAGUCCAGAAUAGGACGAAACGCGCGUCCUGGAU